CCUAGAGUACUGCGGUUUAGCU
rnacentral:miRNA from 1 species